UAUAGAAAAAAUUAAAGGAGUUAGUUAAAAAACUAAUUGAAUGGGCCAAGGAGUUUUAAACUGAAAAAGGAGGUGCAGGCCCAAGACUGAAUUAAAAGGAUGAAACAAAAUGAACCGGACCGGUUCGGGUCAGUAUGACCCGGAUCCGCUAGCUCUUAUCACAUGGGUUGGGUUUUAUGAAAACCCUAAAUUAACACAAGAGGGCCAGCAGCGCCUCUUUCUUCUUUCUUUCAUUUUCACGCUUCUGGAAAAAAAGAAACAACAACAACAACACGAUUCUCUCUCUCUCAGUUUCGUUCAUGGUGAAGAACAAAUAACAAUAGCUUCUGGUCUCUUGCUCAGUGUGAAUCAACAAAGAAGCUUACGGUUCUCUCUCGGUCUUUUGCUCUCACCGAACAAACAACAACAAAGAACCUCUCACGCUUGCUCUCCGUCUCUCUGCGAACAACAACGACACUCUCGGUUUCACGGCAGAGGAGUUGUAACUCAGUGAAGCACAAGAACAACAAAUUUGCAGUAACAAUUAACAGAAAAAUUAAUAGCGGACGAGAAAUUGAGUUACCUGCGGCGAGGAGGCUUUCGCCGGUUUAUGUGCUGAGGAAAGCCAAAGUUCAAAGCAAGAACAAUAUUGAGACUGAGAGUGGAGAUGACUUACCUACGGCGAGGAGAUUUUCGCCGGAUUUAUUGCUGAGG